rnacentral:rRNA from 1 species
UACGAAGGGUGCAAGCGUUAAUCGGAAUUACUGGGCGUAAAGCGUGCGCAGGCGGCUCCUUAAGUCAGACGUGAAAUCCCUCAGCUUAACUGGGAACUGCGUCUGAUACUGGAUGGCUUGAGAUUGGGAGAGGGAUGCGGAAUUCCAGGUGUAGCGGUGAAAUGCGUAGAUAUCAGGAGGAACACCGGUGGCGAAGGCGGGUCUCUGGGCCGAUACUGACGCUGAGGAGCGAAAGCGUGGGGAGCGAACAGG